rnacentral:rRNA from 1 species
CGACCGCUGGCGGCGUGCUUAACACAUGCAAAUCGACCGGAAAGGCCCCAGCUUGCUGGGGUACUCGAGUGGCGAACGGGUGAGUAACACGUGGGUGAUCUGCCCUGCACUCUGGGAUAAGCCUGGGAAACUGGGUCUAAUACCGGAUAGGACCGUGCUUUAGUGUGUGCGGUGGAAAGUUUUUCGGUGCAGGAUGAGCCCGCGGCCUAUCAGCUUGUUGGUGGGGUAAUGGCCUACCAAGGCGGCGACGGGUAGCCGGCCUGAGAGGGUGUACGGCCACAUUGGGACUGAGACACGGCCCAGACUCCUACGGGAGGCAGCAGUGGGGAAUAUUGCACAAUGGGCGCAAGCCUGAUGCAGCGACGCCGCGUGGGGGAUGACGGCCUUCGGGUUGUAAACCCCUUUCGGCAGGGACGAAGCUUUUGUGACGGUACCUGCAGAAGAAGCACCGGCUAACUACGUG